AUGGCUAUCAACCGAGUAUAUUUUUUCCUUGCAAUUCUUUGUAUUGCUUUAGUUUUGCAUCCAGGUGGUGCAAGAAGAUAUGAAGAAAUUAUGAGUGAUGAUAUCACGACUGAUUGUUUUGACACACCAGAAUGUCCAUUAUCUAAUGAAAGUUGUUUACAGAGAUGUGGACGACGAGGUUUGAAAAGUGGCAGUUGUCAAGGACAUCUAUGUUGUUGUCAAAUAAAUACACUCUAA
rnacentral:lncRNA from 1 species